UACAGGGCCCUGUUGCAUAAAAAUUUAUGUCAUAAUGACAUAAAUUUCGAUCAUGACAUAAAAUCAUGCAUAGCUUAUGCCGUUGACAUAAAUUUCGUUGCAUAAAAAUAUUUAUGUAUUGUUUUAGCUUAUGACGCGAUUUAAUCAUCAUUACAUAAACUGAAUAGUCAUGAACGAGCCUGUUGACAUAAACUUGGCAUAAGUUGUCAUUUUUCAGCCGCAGGAAGCUCUUGCGAAAAAGGGUCUUCGGCUUUCUAUUUGGACGGGAUAGAGGCCUAUUUUGGUGACCCACACAAACGGUGAGAAGAGGUAAAGAGAGAAAGGGGCACAGCAACUGGAAGGAGAGGGAAGUCCAGACACUCUACCACUGUCUGCGAUUGAAUAAGAAAUUUCUCUUUGGAUCAGGGGGUCAAGCUUCUAGUAUGAAGAUUGUUCAAGACUCAAGACUGUUGAAGAGGUGACGUCAUGGACCUGGUAGCACCUGGCAAGGGAACUAAAUUA